AUCUUUUUGCAGUUCAUAAGCAUGAUGAUUGGGCAUUCAUAAUUUUGUUUGACAUGUAUCUCCCUUAAAUCUUGUGGUGAUGCCAGCACAUUACCCAUCUGAUG